rnacentral:lncRNA from 1 species
AAAAGAGAAUUAACAGCAUAGAAAUUAUGCCUAAAAGCCAGGUAUUUAUAUACCAGGUUUCUCUUACUGAUAACUCUGGAUUGAGUUGUUUCCAUUAAAUCAACAAUAUUAAAUGUCUUGGGGUGGAGCCAAGAUGGCCAAAUAAGAACAGCUCCAGUCUACAACUCCCAGCAUGAGCGACGCAGAAGACGGGUGAUUUCUGCAUUUCCAACUGAGGUACUGGGUUCAUCUUACUGGGAAGUGUUGGACAGUGGGUGCAG